GACGAACGCUGGCGGCGUGCUUAACACAUGCGAGUCGAACGGAAAGGCCCUGCUUUUGUGGGGUGCUCGAGUGGCGAACGGGUGAGUAACACGUGAGUAACCUGCCCUUGACUUUGGGAUAACUUCAGGAAACUGGGGCUAAUACCGGAUAGGAGCUCCUGCUGCAUGGUGGGGGUUGGAAAGUUUCGGCGGUUGGGGAUGGACUCGCGGCUUAUCAGCUUGUUGGUGGGGUAGUGGCUUACCAAGGCUUUGACGGGUAGCCGGCCUGUGAGGGUGACCGGCCACCUUGGGACUGAGAUACGGCCCAGACUCCUACGGGAGGCAGCAGUGGGGAAUAUUGCACAAUGGGCGGACGCCUGAUGCAGCAACGCCGCGUGCGGGAUGACGGCCUUCGGGUUGUAAACCGCUUUCGCCUGUGACGAAGCGUGAGUGACGGUAAUGGGUAAAGAAGCACCGGCUAACUACGUG
rnacentral:rRNA from 1 species